AUACCUUUCUCGGCCUUUUGGCUAAGAUCAAGUGUAGUAUCUGUUCUUAUCAGUUUAAUAUCUGAUAUGUGAGUCAUCGACUCACACGAUAUUAACUCAAUUUUUUAAGGGGGAAGGUCCACCACGAUAGCUUGCUAUUGGGGCCUUCAAGCGUCGCCUUGGUGUUGCACUAUUGCCUUGGCCUGGCGCACCCCAC
rnacentral:snRNA from 1 species